rnacentral:rRNA from 1 species
GAUGAACGCUGGCGGCGUGCCUAAUACAUGCAAGUCGAGCGAACAGACGAGGAGCUUGCUCCUCUGACGUUAGCGGCGGACGGGUGAGUAACACGUGGAUAACCUACCUAUAAGACUGGGAUAACUUCGGGAAACCGGAGCUAAUACCGGAUAAUAUAUUGAACCGCAUGGUUCAAUAGUGAAAGACGGUUUUGCUGUCACUUAUAGAUGGAUCCGCGCCGCAUUAGCUAGUUGGUAAGGUAACGGCUUACCAAGGCGACGAUGCGUAGCCGACCUGAGAGGAUGAUCGGCCACACUGGAACUGAGACACGGUCCAGACUCCUACGGGAGGCAGCAGUAGGGAAUCUUCCGCAAUGGGCGAAAGCCUGACGGAGCAACGCCGCGUGAGUGAUGAAGGUCUUCGGAUCGUAAAACUCUGUUAUUAGGGAAGAACAAAUGUGUAAGUAACUAUGCACGUCUUGACGGUACCUAAUCAGAAAGCCACGGCUAACUACGU